rnacentral:rRNA from 1 species
UACGUAGGGUGCGAGCGUUAUUCGGAAUUACUGGGCGUAAAGCGUGCGCAGGCGGUUCGUUGUGUCGGUGGUGAAAUCCCCGGGCUUAACCUGGGAAUGGCCAUGGAAACUGGCGAACUGGAGUGCGGCAGAGGGGGGUGGAAUUCCGCGUGUAGCAGUGAAAUGCGUAGAGAUGCGGAGGAACACCGAUGGCGAAGGCAGCCCCCUGGGCUAGCACUGACGCUCAGGCACGAAAGCGUGGGGAGCAAACAGG